rnacentral:rRNA from 1 species
UAGGGAAUCUUCGGCAAUGGGGGCAACCCUGACCGAGCAACGCCGCGUGAGUGAAGAAGGUUUUCGGAUCGUAAAGCUCUGUUGUAAGAGAAGAACGUGUGUGAGAGUGGAAAGUUCACACAGUGACGGUAACUUACCAGAAAGGGAUGGCUAACUACGUGCCAGCAGCCGCGGUAAUACGUAGGUCCCGAGCGUUGUCCGGAUUUAUUGGGCGUAAAGCGAGCGCAGGCGGUUUAAUAAGUCUGAAGUGAAAGGCAGUGGCUUAACCAUUGUUCGCUUUGGAAGCUGUUAAACUUGAGUGCAGAAGGGGAGAGUGGAAUUCCAUGUGUAGCGGUGAAAUGCGUAGAUAUAUGGAGGAACACCGGUGGCGAAAGCGGCUCUCUGGUCUGUAACUGACGCUGAGGCUCGAAAGCGUGGGGAGCAAACAGG